AGCGAACGCUGGCGGCGUGCCUAACACAUGCAAGUCGAACGUGAAAAGGGAAACCUGAGUAAAGUGGCGUACGGGUGAGUAACGCGUAGGUAAUCUACCCCAGAAUCUGGAAUAACCUGCCGAAAGGCGGGCUAAUACUGGAUAGAGCGAGGGAACUCGUAAGAGAGUUUUUCGGGAAAGGGAGCCCGCAAGGGCCUUCGUUCUGGGAUGAGCCUGCGUCUCAUUAGCUAGUUGGUAAGGUAACGGCUUACCAAGGCGAUGAUGAGUAGCUGGUCUGAGAGGAUGAUCAGCCAAACUGGAACUGAAACACGGUCCAGACUCCUACGGGAGGCAGCAGUGGGGAAUCUUGCGCAAUGGACGAAAGUCUGACGCUGCCACGCCGCGUGAGUGAAGAAGGCCUUCGGGUUGUAAAGCUCUGUCGGAUGGGACGAACAUCUUCAUAGUGAAUAGCUAUGAGGACUGACGGUACCAUCAAAGGAAGCACCGGCUAACUCCGUG
rnacentral:rRNA from 1 species